UUGACGGUACCCUACUAGAAAGGAGCCGCUAACUUCGUGCCAGAAGCGUCGGUAAUACGGGGGCUCCAAGCGUUAUCCGGUGUUAUUGGGCGUAAAGAGUCGUGUAGGUGGUUGGGUAAGUUAUCUUUCAAAUAUCUUUGCUUAACAAAGAGGAGGGGGAUAAUACUGCUCGACUAGAAUUUUCUCAAGGGAGAUCGGAACUGAGGGAGGAGUAGUGAAAUGCGUUGAUACCCUCGGGAACACCAGUGGCGUAGGCGGAUCUCUGGGAGAAGAUUGACACUGAGACACGAAAGCUAGGGGAGCGAAGCAGAUUAGAGACCUGCGUAGUCCUAGCCGUAAACGCAUGCUUGCUAGCUGCAUGAAUCUACCUUCGGGUGGUAUCGUGUGGCGAAGGUAACCCGUUAAGCAAGCCGCCUGGAAAGUACGGCCGCAAGGCUGAAAUUCAAAGGAAUUGGCGGGGAGGCACACAACCAGUGGAACAUGUGGUCUAAUUCGAGACUAACCGAAGAACCUCACCAGGGUUUGACAUGUAGCUGCACGUCUUAAGAAAUUAAGACUCUCUUGAAGGUGCUACACAGGUGCUGCAUGGCUGUCGUCAGCUCGUUCCGUGAGGAGUGCCCUUAAGUGGGACAACGAGCGCAACCCCUAUUACAUGUUAGAAAUGUCAUGUAAGACUGCCUUGCCAUUUGGCGGGGAGGAAGGAGGGGCAGACGUCAAGUCCGCAUGGUCCUUAUGCCCUGGGCUACACACAUGUUACAAUGAGUACGGCAAUGAGUCUGUCGCGAGCACGUAAGUGUAAGCUAAUCUCUUAAAUGUACUCUCAGUGGGGACUGAGGUCUGCAACUCGACCUCAUGAACACGGAAUUGGUAGUAAUCGCGGGUCAGCUAUACCGCGGUGAUACGUUCUUGCCUCUUGCACACACCGCCCGUCAAACCAGCAAAGU
rnacentral:rRNA from 1 species